rnacentral:rRNA from 1 species
CUAAUGAACGCUAGCGCCAGGCCUACCACAUGCAAGUCGAGGCCUAGAGGAAGCGAUUUGCUUCCUUGAGACCGGCGCGCGUCAGCGCGUAUGCAAUCUACCGUUGUAUUGACGACUUCCAGAGAGGAUUAAUGCCCCAUGGUAUAAUUGAAUGCCGUCAUUUAAUGUAUUAAAGAUUUAUCGGUACAAGAUGAGCAUGCACUGCAUUAGUUAGUUGGUAAGGUAACGGCUUACCAAGACGAUGAUGGGUAGGGGUCCUGAGAGGGUCUUCCCCCACACUGGUACUGAGACACGGGACUCCCACGGGAGUCAGCAGUGAGGGGUAUUAGGCAAAUGGCCGGAAGCCUGCCAGCCAUGCCGCGUGCAGGCAGACGGUCCUAUGGAUCGUAAACUGCUUUUAUACGGGGAAACACUGUCUCGUGAGGGAGCUUGACGGUACCGUAAGAAUAAGGAUCGGCUAACUCCGUGCCAACUGGGGCGGUAAUACGGAGGAUCCAAGCGUUAGGAAUCAUUGGGUAUUAAAGGGUCCGUAGGCGGCUUUAUAAUCAGUGGUGAAAUCUCCCAGCUCAACUGGGAAACUGCCACCUGUACUGUAGGGCUAGAAUGCUUAGGAAGUAACUAGAAUAUGUAGUGUAGCGGUGAAAUACGUGGAUAUUACAUGGAAUAUCAAUUGCGAACACGUUACUACUAAGUGAUUGACGCUGAUGGACGAAACCGUGGGGAGCGAACAGGAGUAGAUACCCUGGUAGUCCACGCCGUAAACCUAGGAUACUAGCUGUUCGGAGCAAUCUGAGUGGCUAAGCGAAAGUGAAGGGUAUCCCACCUGGGGAGUACGAGCGCAAGUUUGAAUCUCAAAGGAAUUGACGCCGGCCCGCACAAGCUGUGGAGCAUGUGGAUUAAUUCGAUGAUACGCGAGGAACCUUACCAACCCUUAAAUGUAGAGUGGCGGUUCUGGAUACAGGAUUCCCUUCGGACACUUUACAAGGUGCUGCUUGGUUGUCCUCAGCUCGAAGCCGUGACGUGUCAGGUUAAGUCCUAUAACGACCGCAACCCCUGUUGUUAGUUGCCAGCGAGUGAUGUCGGGAUCUCUAGCAAGACUGCCGCUGCAAACCGUGAGGUUGGUGGCGAUGACGUCAAAUCAGCACGGCCCUUACGCCUUAGGCUACACACGUGCUAUAAUGGUAGGUACAGAGAGCAGCCACUUCGCAAGUUGGAGCGAAUCUACAAAACCUCUCUCAGUUCGGAUCGGAGUCUGCAACUCUGAAGCUGGAAUCGCGAGUAAUCGGAUAUCAGCCUUGAUCCGGUGAAUACGUUCCCGGGCCUUGUACACACCAGCCCGUCAAGCCAUGGAAGCUGGGGGUAGGUGAAGUCGGUGACCGCAACGAGCUGCCUAGAGUAAAACUGGUAACUGGGGGU